rnacentral:rRNA from 1 species
UCUGGCUCAGGACGAACGCGGGCGGCGUGCUUAACACAUGCAAGUCGAACGAUGAAGCCAGCUUGCUGGUGGAUUAGUGGCGAACGGGUGAGUAACACGUGGGCAACCUGCCCCCGGCUCUGGGAUAACUCCAAGAAAUUGGUGCUAAUACCGGAUAUUCUUCUUUCACCGCAUGGUGGUUGGAGGAAAGUUUUUCGGCUGGGGAUGGGCCCGCGGCCUAUCAGCUUGUUGGUGGGGUGAUGGCCUACCAAGGCGACGACGGGUAGCCGGCCUGAGAGGGUGACCGGCCACACUGGGACUGAGACACGGCCCAGACUCCUACGGGAGGCAGCAGUGGGGAAUAUUGCGCAAUGGGCGGAAGCCUGACGCAGCGACGCCGCGUGAGGGAUGACGGCCUUCGGGUUGUAAACCUCUUUCAGCAGGGACGAAGCGCAAGUGACGGUACCUGCAGAAGAAGCACCGGCCAACUACGUGCCAGCAGCCGCGGUAAUACGUAGGGUGCAAGCGUUGUCCGGAAUUAUUGGGCGUAAAGAGCUCGUAGGCGGUUUGUCGCGUCGGCUGUGAAAGCCCGGAGCUCAACUCCGGGUCUGCAGUCGAUACGGGCAGACUUGAGUGUUGCAGGGGAGACUGGAAUUCCUGGUGUAGCGGUGAAAUGCGCAGAUAUCAGGAGGAACACCGGUGGCGAAGGCGGGUCUCUGGGCAACAACUGACGCUGAGGAGCGAAAGCGUGGGGAGCGAACAGGAUUAGAUACCCUGGUAGUCCACGCCGUAAACGUUGGGCGCUAGGUGUGGGGGCCAUUCCACGGUCUCCGUGCCGCAGCUAACGCAUUAAGCGCCCCGCCUGGGGAGUACGGCCG